rnacentral:rRNA from 1 species
UGGUGGGUUGCCUUGUCAGGUUGAUUCCGGUAACGAACGAGACCUCAGCCUGCUAAAUAGUCACGAUCGACUCGUCGGUCGGCCGACUUCUUAGAGGGACUAUCGGCGCUAUAGCCGAUGGAAGCAUGAGGCAAUAACA